rnacentral:misc_RNA from 1 species
CAGUACAAAAAUAGUUUUUAAAUGUAAAUAUCAAAAAAGAAGUAGAAAAUUUUAUGUUAAAUGACUCAAUAUGGUUUAACAACUGAAAAGGCAUUAAAAAAGCUAAAGGAGGCAAUUAAAAAUCAGUUAUGUUGUUGUUUACAACGUAAUAAGAGCAUGUUAUGGUUGCCUCGAAAGUUGUUCAAUGCAGAUUCUACUCUUCAUUUUUCGAUUAUUGGAUGUGGUGGGAUUUUUUUGGUACUGAUAGCAAUAUUAGCAAAUCUGUUUGCUUUUCAUAUGGACAGUUAUACGACGUUGCUCGCUGAAUUUGUAAUAUUGUUGGUUUUUUUUCUUGGAAUUUUAUUAUUUUGUAUUCGUGAAGUCAUUUUAAAAGAAAAUGAAAUUGAAAGAACAAUUGGUUGUCUACUUUCUGAAAUAGAUGAAACAGUUACUUGGUCAGACAACCAAUAUCCAAGUCUUACUUUACCAGAUUCAAGAUCCUUUACAUUAGUUUGGACAUAUAGAGAUGGUCAUGUAGUAAACUUACCAUGGAAUUUAGUAGUUGAAGGGGAUGUCAUUAUCCUUGGGUCUGGUGCUGUAGCUUUAACACGAUGCAAAGAAAUACAAACAGAUGACACUUCUGGGCCUCUACAUAUACUCGAAGCAGGAGAUACUUUUAAUCCAGCAUCAUUAAACAAUAAAGAAUGUGACCCAUUUCCUAGACAAAGAUUUGAAGUAAUGCAAACUCCUGUGGAGACAUUAAUAAGCUCUUACUUUCAUGAAAAUUCUCAUAAGUUGGUAAGCAUUUGUAAUGCUGAUGCCAAAAUUAUUCGUCAAUUUAUUGAAAGAAGAUUACUUUUUGCUGUUGUGUUAUUUGUUUUACUCGUCAACAUAAUAAGAUGGAGAUUGAUUCCUGAAGCUUCUGGAUUUAACCUGGAGAUGAUUUUUUUAAUACCAUGUCAUUCUAUUUUCCCAUUGUUACCUCUUACAUUUCCCAUUAUAUGGAAGUUUGUUUCAUUUUAUGGUGCAGCAAGGUUGCGAGUUCUUCUCUCUAUAUACUCAAAACUGUAUACCAAAGCAAGCGACUCAGAGGAAAUUAUACUGGAACAUGUUGAUCGUUUAGCUGUUUGGAAAUCCUUUUGGAAGAUUCUUUGUGGAGAUCCACAAGGUCUACCUAGAAGAAUUGAUUUAGUGCAUGCUUUGGGUAGCAUUACUACUUUUAGCUGUGUUGAUAAGGAAGGAAUUUUGUGUUAUCCAAAUCCAAUACCUGAAAAGUUGUUUUAUUUUGAGAGCAUGCCAACAACAAGUCAAAUAAAUGAAGGAAAUAUCAAUUCUGCAGAUGUGCCUGUAUGCGUUUCAAGUCAAUUAGAAAGAAGUUUUGAUGAAGUUAAGAUACUUACUAUUUCUUCUGAUCCUCAAAGUUGUAAUGGUUUUAGGUUUGAUGAGUUAGAAUGGCAAAAAUCAAUAUCUUCUUUAAAACCGUUGGGACUUAAUAUGCUUCUUAAUUCACCAUGCUUGUAUCCUUUGAAAACAAUACGAGAAAAUGAUUUUAUUAAUCAAUUGUUAUUGGCUUCAAAUAAUUCUUUAAUGUCAGGAUUAAAUGGGUGUUUGUGUGGUUUAUCUCGAGAAAUUGGUUUUAAAGAUCUUGCUCUUCAUAAUUAUCAACACAAACAAAAGAUUUUUACAUAUAGUCCUAUGGAUUCAACUGAAGCUACUGUCCCUUCAAGUUUUUAUCUUUCUAUUGUAAGAGAAAAACGUCUUCCUCAUAUGAUUUCUUCACUAAUAAAUCAAACCAAUAGCAACAUCACACAAAUGUUAAGUGUUGGGUCAGCUGAUAUUAUUCUCGAAGCUUGUUCGGAUAUAUGGAAUGGGUGUGAUAUUAAACCUCUUUCUGAAGCUAAAAAAGAAAAAGCUCUUAGCUUUUUUCAGCGUAUGGAUAUUACAGGAAGAUGUUUAGCUUAUUCAUACAGACCUGUAUUUGAGAAUGUUACUGUGAAUGACCAUUCAUUUGUUCAAUUUUCUAAUAAACGUUGGAAUUCAGUAGAGCUGCAAGUUUCAAACAAAGUGUACACAGACAGUGAAAUGUGUGAGGUUGAAAUUAAAAGUGUUCAGGAAGAUCUAUGCUGCGAGGAUUUACUUAAGAAGCCUGUUUUUAACAGUUCUACAUGUCAACUUGACAAACAGAUAUUUCUUGGCAUGGUAACCUUGACUCAUCUAUUGAAAGAGGAUGUUUUGACAUUAGUUGAACAACUUAAUGUUGCUGGUAUUCGAUUUGUACAUUUUUCUUAUGAUAAUGAGCUUCUUAGUAGGGUAUUUUGUCAGCGUUUAGGAUUAGAAACAGGAUGGAAUUGUCAUAUUUCACUCAGUGAUGAUAAUGAUUAUAUUGAGUAUUCAUCUUCAGCCAUUUCUGAUUCCUGCCCAUUUUUGUAUCAAGAAGAUGUUGAGGGUUUUAACCGCAGUUUUAGGCGUAGAGAAAAUGAGUCAAGCUUAGGAAGUUUUCGACGACGUGAACCAUAUUCAAGUGCAAGUUUACUAGCUAAAGGUGAAUCACAAGAUGAAGAUUUGCCACCUAAAAAUCAUUAUGCUGAGUUUGAUGAACUUUAUUUUAUGACUAAUCGGUCUAAACUCCCAAAAGGUAUACAAUGUAUGCGAGCUCAUCUGGAAGAAGUUGAUGAUGUGCCUUUACUUGUUCCUUUAUUUACUGAUUGUACACCUCAAGCUGUAUGUGAUAUGAUUAACAUUAUGCAAGACUAUGAUGAUAUUGUGUGUUGUAUUGGAAGUUCUUUAAACUUACAAAACCAUACAAUAUUUUCUUCUGCUGAUGUUAGUAUAUCAGUUAAUCCCAUCUUGCGUAAUGUGUGUACCACCAAAGAUCAAAAGAUCAAUGACUGUUAUGAGCUACAUCGUUCUGAUUUAUGUUUAUGGACUACUAACAAAUAUAGAGGCCCUUUGGAGUUAAGUUCAUUGUUGAAUAGUGUCAGUUGUUCACUUCGAUUAACACGUGAAGAAAACUUCCCUAUUUCAGCUCUUUUAUGUGAAUCUCGCCGUAUAUUGUUUGGCCUUCGAAGUUGUUUUCUGUUCUUGGUUUAUUGUCAUCUUUUUUUGACAAUUCUUCAACUGCUUUCAACAUGUUUUUUACUACCUCCACCUUUAAGUGGUUUACAAAUGUUGUGGCUUAUUUGUAUCAUAAUCCCUUUGUUAAGCAUAUCACUUAUUGGGACACCUAAUAAUGGGAAGUUGAUGAAGGUUAUUACAGGGAAAAGAAAAAAACACAGUUAUAAAGAGUUUGCUUCCAGUUAUGUUAAACAGUUUUUUGUAACAUUUGGAUUAAAUGCUUUUUUGAUAACUACUGGCUUAUUUCCUUGGUUACUAACAAUGUUUUGUAAAAGAAGUAAUGCAAAAACAAGAUGCUCAUGGUUUUUAGGUGCCAGCAUUGCUGUCUUCAUCAUUCGUACAUCGUUCUGAUUUUUUAUGGAGGAAAUCACCUUUUAAGAACAAACCUUGGUGUGUUUGUAUUUUGGCAAGUUUGCUUCUACAGGCAGUUCUCACAUUGAUCUUUGAUUACUCGCAUGAUUUAGCUGCUAUUUCUCCAUUUUUUUAUCUUGUUUGCUUUGUUGUUUUAUUUGUUGUUAUAUUGUUAAGCGAGGCAUACAAAGGAUGUUUAAAGAG